ensembl:lncRNA
AGUGGACCCCUGACCCCAGUGGACCCCUGACCCCAGUGGACCCCAGACCCCAAGUGUACCCCAGACCCCAAGUGGACCCCAGACCCCCCAGACCACGUGGUCCGCCCCGAGAGCCAGCGGCCCCAGCAGCAGCGUGGGAGAGCAGCAAGGAGGGAGAGGAGGUACAGGGGGAGGAUCCAGAGGAUAAAAUGGCCGCCGCCGAGCAGCAUCAGGCAGUAGGGGGCGUGGGGACCCCCCAGGCAGGCAUGCAGGAAGUGCCUGAGACUCUGAAGGAGGCGCAGUCGCCCAGCCCCCCAACAGGGGAAAGCCUGCCCCCGCCCUCCUGGGAGGACCAUCCUCUGAGCCCACUCCUGGACCUCACCCCCCAGGGGAAGGUUGCCGACCAGGGGGGGCAGGGGGCGGGGCCAGCAGCCCUCCCCAACGGGCUCAGGGCGGAGUUCGCCCUGCUGGAGGCUGAGGGCCCCAAGGCAGCCGGCUCUCUGCUGGAGGCUGAGGGCCCCAAGGCAACCGGCUCUCUGCUGGAGGCUGAGGGCCCCAAGGCAACCGGCUCUCUGCUGGAGGCUGAGGGCCCCAAGGCAACCGGCUCUCUGCUGGAGGCUGAGGGCCCCAAGGCAGAAACCUGUCUGCUGGAAGCUGAGGGCCCCAAGGCAGAGACCUGUCUGCUGGAGGCUGAGGGCCCCAAGGCAGCCGGCUCUCUGCGGGAGGCUGAGGGCCCCAAGGCAACCGGCUCUCUGCUGGAGGCUGAGGGCCCCAAGGCAGAGACCUGUCUGCUGGAGGCUGAGGGCCCCAAGGCAACCGGCUCUCUGCUGGAGGCUGAGGGCCCCAAGGCAACCGGCUCUCUGCUGGAGGCUGAGGGCCCCAAGGCAGAGACCUGUCUGCUGGAGGCUGAGGGCCCCAAGGCAGCCGGCAGUCUGCUGGAACACGGUGAGGCCCAAGGUUCACGUUCUGAUGGAGCUCCUCCACCACUACACACGGCUUUAGGUCAAACGUUCUCUAAGACUAUUGAACAAAAGGGACCAGAGACACAAGUCUGAACCGGCGUUAGUCUGAACCGGCGUUAGUCUGAACCGGCGUUAGUCUGAACCGGCGUUAGUCUGAACCGGCGUUAGUCUGAACCGGCGUUAGUCUGAACCGACGUUAGUCUCAACCGAUGUUUGUUUGUUCAAUCUUAGUCGACACCAGGUGACUUAGAUGCUACACAAUUAAGUACUAUGAAUAAAUAUCGCAUAGGUCUAGGUGAACUCUGAACAGGUGAGUUUUGAGUCUUUUGCGGAAGCUGGUGAGCGACUCUGCGGUCCUGACAUCGGCAGGGAUCUCGUUCCACCACAGCGGUGCCAAAACAGAGAAGAGUUGGGACUUUGAUGAUCGACCUUUGCUUGCUGUUAGCAAUGGCGGUAGCCGACUGAGGUAGCUUGAGUGGAGCGCCCGAGCUGCGAUGUGGUUUGACCAACGCUUGGAGGUAGGCAGGGCCAGUUCCAUUGACCACCUUGUAUGCCAGUACCAUCAUCUUGAAUCUGCGAGUUACUACAGGAAGCCAGUGAAGUUCCUGGAAGAGGGGGGGGUCAAAUGGGAGGACUUGGGUAGGUUGAACACGAGGCGCGCUGCAGCGUUCUGGAUACGCUGCAAAGGUUUAAUCUUGGAGGCAGGGUGUUCAGCCAGGAGCGAGUUGCAGUAGUCGCGGCAGGAGAUGAUGAGCGCUUCGACCAGGAGCUGAGCUGCUUUCCUCGUGAGGAAGGGCCGGAUCCUGCGGAUGUUGUAAAGGGCAAAUCUGCAGGAUCGGGCCACUGCGGUGAUGUUUGCGGUGCAGCAUAACUGAAUGUCCAGUACCACACCGAGGUUUCUGGCAGUUAGAGAAGGAGAUGCAGUAAUGUUCUCGACAGUGACAGUAAGUCCAUGUGUGGGCAAUCUUUCCCUGGCAUUAGGAGUAGCUCAGACUUGUUGAGGUUAAGCCUCAGGUGAUUGACAGUCAUCCAAGUGCUGAUGUCUGCCAGACAUUCCGCUUUCCAUGUUGCAAUCAGGGUCAGAGUAAGGGAAAUAGGAAUAGCUGAGUGUCGUCAGCGUAGCAGUGAUAGGAAAAACUGUGAUGUGAUGGUAUAGAGGGAGAACAGAGGGGGUCCCAGUACAGAGCCUUGAGGGACACCAGUGUCAAGAGUGCAGGGUUAUGACAAGGAGCCAUUCCAUGUUACCUGAUGCGAUUCUUCAGGUAGGAUGUGAACCAGGAUAGGGCAGAUUCAGCAAUGCCAAGUACGGCGAGAAUGGCAGGAGGAUCUGGUGGUUCACGAUGGCAAAUGCCGCUGACAGGUUGAGGAGAAUGAGGACAGAUGAGAGGGACGAGGCUCUGGCUUUGGCAUAUACCCUCCUCCCUCUGGAGGAGGGAAGAGAACAUGGAAAAUGUUCAAGGAUUGCGCAGGUCUGGAGUGGAAGGACAGAGAGGGAGUCCAAGGAGGAGGAGACAGGAGAGGGAGGAUAGAAUAGUGUUGGAGAUUUUCUCGUGGAGACCUGAGAGAAUCGUUCGACAGAAGGUAGUGAAGACAGGAGAGUUGGGGCAAACGUAGAGGGAGGGAUUUCAGGUUACGGCGGUGGUGACAAUGUGAGGAAUACAGAGCUUGGAGGGGAAGGACUUCAAGGGGAGAGAAAAAGCAACAAAGUGAUGGUCAGACACAGGGAGCGGGGUGACAGAGAGAGUGAGGUACCGCAGGACCUUGUGAAUAUCAGGUCAAGUUGGUUCACGGCCCUGUGUGUGGGAGGAGAAGGGGAGAGUGUUAUGUCAAAGGUGGCGAAAAAGGUUGUUUAUUGAAGUGCAACUUCUCAGGCAAAAUGUUGAAGUCGCCAAGGAGAACGAGCAUCCAUCUCAUCGUAUAAGUCGUGGAAGGGACCUGGAGGAUGGUAGAUCACCACAAUGUAGAGCUUUAUGGGAAGGGUGACAAUAACAGAAUGGAGGUCAAAUGCAGAUCUGGUCAAGUGUUCCAGUGGAAGGACCACUUAGGACCACUCACGAAAUAAUAAUAAUAAUGGAUUGAAUUUAUAUAGCGCUUUUCUAGACACUCAAAGAUGCUUCACAGUGAAGGGGGGAACCUCACUGACCACCACCAGUGUGCAGCACCCACUGGGGUGAUGCACGGCAGCCAAUCAGCGCCAGAACGCUCAAGCUUGAGGUGGAGAGUGAGGGAACUAAUGAGUCGGCCAAUUUUACAGGAGGAUGAUUAGGGGUCCAGAUUGAAUGAGCCUGAUUGAGCCAGGACACCGGGGAAACCCCUUCUCUUUGCGAUAAGUGCCCUGCAAUCUUUUAUGACCUCAGUGAGUCAGGACCUUGGUUUUAUGUCUUCUCCGAAGGACGGAAAGUGAGAGAUGAGGAGUCCAGUCCCCCCUCCUCGCCCCGAUGGUCUUAGGAGGUGUGAGAACGAGCAGGCGGUGGAGAGGGCAGCAAGAGUGGCAGAGUUCUCUGGAGUGAUCCAAGUCUAAGUCCAAAUCUGUAUGGCCUAGGAAGUGGAGUCAUGAGGGAGGCCAUAGGCCGAGAUGGAGUCUGCCUUUUGACUGCUGAUUGGCAGUUCCAGAGUCGUCCCAUCACUUUGAGGUCAGUGUAGGUCGAGGGCGGUGGGUGCCACAGAUGGGUUGCGCCGAGAUGGGGAUCUCGGGUGGCGUGUACUCCGGAUGGGUAUCCUGACGAUGAUUGAAAUACGACAAACAGCUACAAUAGGGGUGGCUUCCUUGGUCUUCCUCGAGGGACUCCCGCAGAGAGACUCCCUUAUUCUUUGUUUCCCAGGUCUUCGUUUUGAGGGUCCUGACGCUGCCUAUUUAGCAAUAUAAAUGUGGCAUUAGUGGUGCUUUAAGGCCUUGGGCCCUAUUUUAACAUUCUGAAACGCAAGUUAGAAGCACCAAGCGCAAGUAGCUUUGUGGGCGGAUCUAUGGCGAUGUCGCUAGUUUACCGGCGCGAAUAAUGACUUGCGCCCGGCGCAUAUCUAAUAAGAGUUGGUCUGAAGUAGCCUCAUUACCCGUAGGUGUGGUUUGGGCGUAACGUGCAAUAAUCCAAUGAGAGUGCCAGCUCCCAUCCCCUUUAAGAGCCAUGAGCGCAUUUGAAUCUGACGAGUUGAAAUUUUGCAGUGCGUCUGCAGUCUCCGAUGAGACAGAUGCACAUGAAUUACAAAAUUCAAAUGGCUCAGUUUUAGGCCAAAUAAUAUGGCCUAAUUCACACAGGGAAUAAGGUUUUCUUCCACAACUUCAGAAAUACUGAGUCCUUAAAUAAAUUUCGGCAUAUGAUGUAUGUUCGUAUAUGAUCUAACAUAUGAUAUGCGGUAACUGUAGUUCUAUUUAAUGAUAUACACAAUACAUUAUAAACAUCGUUUAUCAGUAUUGUAUGCAUUAUCGUUAUCGACUUGUGUUCCUAAUAUGCAUGUGUCCCCCCGUUAAUAUACAUUGCCAUGGACUAUUAUGCGUUACGUGUUUAGUUUGCAUGUGUUCAAACAGAUGGACGCCCACGCGCACGCCUACUCGCGUGUGUGUGUUACACAUACACACACGCGCUCCAGCAUUCAUUCAUUCUUCUUAACACUCACUCGCGGUAAAACAAUGUUUUCUCACAAUCCAAUACUCAUCAAUCCUAAAAGUUAUGGGCAUGUACACGAUGUCUGUGUCAAGAAAAUAUGUGUUUGUUGUAUGGUGUUUGCAGAUGCAUUGAUUUAAAAGUACAACUUAUUACCGUGGUAUCAGCUGUUCUUUCUCAAAUAAUUUACCAAGAAUGUGUGGCUAGGUAGAUGAGAGAAGCAAAGUGUAUGCGCGAGGUGCACAAGCAAAAAUAUAUGCAUGCGCCCUUAAAAUAGCAUCUGAACAACGCGCCACUGACUUUAAACUAGGUAUUUCCUUGUUUGUGGCGCAGGUGGUUUCUGAAACGGCAAGAUAGCACCAGGGAACGUUUGUGCCAGAACACGCCUCCUCCUUUCGCCGAGCCGCCCCUUGGGGCGCAAGAUCAUUCCCUAAUUUACCGACGUGGUGCAGGAGGGAAAAGAACACUCUGUGCCAGUUGCAAACUAGCAACGACACAUGCGCCAGUGAUUAAGUCAAUUGUGCCAGAUGCAAGAUAGGGGCCCUUGAGUCUGAGGACAGACUCUAAAUGGAUGUUGUGUUGUGUUGUUGGUUGUUGUGUUGUGUUGUGAUGUGUUGUGUUGUUGUGAUGCUGUGUUGUGUUGUUCUGAUGUUGGCAGUGAGGACAGACAGUAAAGGGAUGUUGUGUUGUUGUGAUGUUGACAGUGAGGGUGAGGACAGACAGUGAAGGGUUGUUGUGUUGUGUUGUGAUGUGUUGUGUUGUUGUGAUGCUGUGUUGUGAUGUUGGCAGUGAGGACAGACAGUAAAGGGAUGUUGUGUUGUUGUGAUGUUGACAGUGUGGGUGAGGACAGUGAACUGAUGUUGUGUUGUGUUGUUGUGAUGCUGUGUUGUGAUGUUGGCGGUGAGGACAGACUGUAAAGGGGUGUUGUGUUGUGUUGUGUUGUGUUGUGAUGCUGUGUUGUGAUGUUGUGUUGUGUUGUUGACAGCAGAGCUGAGCUGCGGGCCGGACGUGGAGACGCUGCUGCUGGACGCCAGCCUGGAGACGGAGCGGAGAGACGCGCCCUGAAGACCCCAGGCUGCGUCGUGGGAACCCCGGUCUGCCUCCUCAGAUGGUCGCCUCUCUCCGCCAGACCCUCUGCCGGCUGGAACACCGUACAUAAAGAUAUACCAACAUGUUAAAUAGACCAAAAAGAUAGAGCAUCUCAGACAGAAAGACUUUUGAAAACAACUCCACCAUCACCACGCUUUGGCACCAGGCAUCAGAGCUCCACCUGCCCCACACUACACCCCCCACUGAGCCCCAGGAGGAGGUGCUACCGUCGGGCGCUCUGCUCCAUCGACGCCCCAGACCCCCACACCACAAGAGGGGGCUGAUGACACUAACCAAAGACUACAGAAUACAGCCCCCCCCCCAGGCAACAGGUGUGGUAUGGUGUGUACCCCACCCUGUCAGGCGCUCCCAGGAGCCAGGCGUCUUCCUCGCUGGGUUCCUCAGCCUGGGGGUCUCCAAGCUCACAGAUCUGUUUGGUCCCCGAGGGAAAAUGAGUUGAGAAAGUUGUUGAAAGUGUCCCUCUUGUGUUGCUGUGUCCCUGCCCCGGCCCCCCCUACACUACUGUCCUCAUUCUGAUGAGUCGUGCUGUUAAUGGAAGUCAAACUGUACGGCCUUCAAAUCUGCCGACCAAAUCCAAUCGCAGACACCUUAACGUGGUCUCGCCCCCCACCGGCUCACAGCUGCGGGGGACACAUAAAGCGUCUUGAUACGAGUAGAUGGUCCCCUGUUCCUUCCUUCCUGGUCUUCUUUAUUCCGUCUUCCACUAGUACCGCCCCCCCCCCGUGAUUCAUGUUGCCUUCACUUCAUUCUUAGUUUGAAUUUUAUCCUGGCUUUUGUUUUGCUGCUUUGAGAAAUCGAUUGUUUUUGUAUUUAUUUUAUAGAUCUAUGAGCGUCUCUGUGUGGAUUAUUCCCCUCCCUUCCCUUUUGUGUUUAAUGUUAUUUCUUUAUUAAGGGUUUUUGCUUUAAGCGACUUGCCCCGUUGGUGUAAAUGUCCUGUUGGAUUAGGUGGUUGUUUCUCUUGAUUGGGGAAAGGGUCUUGGUAAUAAAGAUAUCUUCGGGUGAAGGGUUUACGUCAAUGUUGGAAUGAUUGAACUGUUAAGACAACAAGCACGAAGAGCGUUGUUUUCAGGAGGGGCAGCACUUGCAGGCUCACACCCGAACAAUGCUCACACCGACCACCGCUCACAUCCCGCUCACAUCCCGCUCACAACCCGCUCACACCCGACCAAUGCUCACAUCCCGCUCACACCCAACCACUGCUCACACCCCGCUCACACCAGACCAAUGCUCACACCCCGCUCACACCCGACGAAUGCUCACACCCCGCUCACAUCCCGCUCACACCCAACCACUGCUCACACCCGCUCACACCAGACCAAUGCUCACAUCCCGCUCACACCGCUCACACCCGCUCACACCCGACGAAUGUGCUCACACCCCGCUCACACCCGCUCACACCCGACCAAUGCUCACACCCGA